AUAAAACGCUAACAAUCUUUUACUAAAAAGAAUUAGUAGUGUUUUAGUUUAUUUUCUUAAUAUGCUCUAGAUAUUAAGGAAAUGAUUAUUAUUUUUACUUUAAAAGUUUAAUGGCUUAAUCUUGCUUUACUGUUUGACUUACACGUCUAUCAGUUGCGUAAGCAGGGCAUAUGAUCACAAGAUGCAUAAAGGAAAGGUCUUGGAUUUUUGAAAAAGCUACGCUAGGGAUAACAGGCUAAUUGCGCCAGAGAGUACAAAUUGAGUGCGCAGUUUGGCACCUCGAUGUCGGCUUAGCUCAUCCACAUGAAUGCAGAAAUCAUGAAGGGUACGACUGUUCGUCGAUUAAAGAGCUACACGAGCUGGGUUAAAUACGUCGUGAGACAGUAUGGUUUCUAUCUUCUAGAGGAAAUUAGAGUAAAAUAAGGAUAGCCCCUUCGUACGAAAGGAGUUGGGUAUGGUAACCUCUGGUUUACCUGUUGUUUAUGUAUCCAAUAUUAUAUUUUUGACGCUUUGCUUUGCGCUUUGCGUUAGAAAUUAGUUUAAAAAGGAUAUUUACAGUUACUCAUGUAUAUAUAUAUAUCAUAGGCACGGCAGGAAACCCACGUUAGCUAUAGAUAAGUGCUGAAUGCAUAUAGGCGCGAAGCUUAUCUUAAGAUACUCUUAAAUAUACGUGGUAUAAUACUACGAGUAUUAGUGUAAGCGCUAGACGUUAUACAUUAAUACUGUAUAGGCUUUUGCUUUAAGGAUUUUGAUGUCUUCAGGUAAAAAGUACUAAUUUUAUUAAAAACUAAAUAAC
rnacentral:ncRNA from 1 species